CUACAAACACACUAAAUUCAUUAUACACAAUUUGCACUUACUACAAACACACUACAUUCACUAUACACACUUUGCAUUCAUUAUACACACUCUGCACUCACUACAAAAAUACUACAUUCACUAUACACACUGCACUCACUACAAACACUACAUUUAUUAUACACACUGCACUCACUACAAAUACACUACAUUUAUUAUACAC